AUUGAACGCUGGCGGCAGGCCUAACACAUGCAAGUCGAACGAGUGGCGGACGGGUGAGUAAUGUCUGGGAAACUGCCCGCUGGAGGGGGAUAACUACUGGAAACGGUAGCUAAUACCGAAUACCAUCGUAUGUGCCCAGAUGGGAUUAGCUAGUAGGUGGGGGAACGGCUCACCUAGGCGACGAUCCCUAGCUGGUCUGAGAGGAAGACCGGCCAAACGGGAACUGAGACACGGCCCAGACUCCUACGGGAGGCAGCAGUGGGGAAUAUUGCACAAUGGGCGAAAGCCUGAUGCAGCAAGGCCGCGUGUAUGAAGAAGGCCUUCGGGUUGUAAAGUACUUUCAUCGAGGAGGCGGUACUUGCAGAAGAAGCAACGGCUAACUACGUGCCAGCAGCCGCGGUAAUAC
rnacentral:rRNA from 1 species